GGCUGCGAGGCGCUGGCCUCCCGGGCGCGGGGGUCGCCGCGGGGCGCGUCGGUGUCGUCCGCGGCCCUCGGGUCGCGCGGCUGCCCCCGGACCGCUUAGUCCCAAGCCGGGUGCGGUUUCCUCUCCUGGAGGUGAAGCGGAGUGAGGGGGCCUGGGCCCUCGGACCAGGAAUGAAACAUGACUGAGGACUCUCAGAGAAACUUCCGUUCCGUAUAUUACGAGAAAGUGGGGUUUCGUGGAGUUGAAGAAAAGAAAUCACUGGAAAUUCUCCUAAAAGAUGACCGACUGGAUAUUGAGAAACUUUGUACUUUUAGUCAGAGGUUCCCUCUCCCAUCCAUGUACCGUGCACUGGUAUGGAAGGUGCUUUUAGGGAUCCUGCCUCCGCACCAUGAAUCCCAUGCCCAGGUGAUGAUGUAUCGCAAGGAGCAGUACUGUGAUGUGCUUCAUGCCCUGCACGUUGUUCGCUUUGUCAGCGAUGCCACACCUCAGGUUGAAGUCUAUCUCCGCAUGUAUCAGCUGGAGUCUGGAAAGUUGCCUCGAAGUCCCUCCUUUCCACUGGAGCCAGAAGAUGAAGUAUUUCUUGCCAUUGCCAAAGCCGUGGAAGAAAUGGUAGAGGAUAGUGUCGACUGUUACUGGAUCAUCCGAUGCUUUGUGAACCAACUAAACAACAAGUACCGGGAGUCUUUACCUCAGCUGCCAAAGGCUUUUGAACAGUACUUGAAUCUGGAAGAUAGCCGUUUGCUGAGUCAUCUGAAGACGUGUUCUGCGCUGUCCAGACUUCCUUACGAUCUCUGGUUCAAGAGGUGCUUCGCAGGGUGCUUGCCUGAAUCAAGUUUACAGAGACAUGUGUUGCUGGCAUUUGAGAGUCCUGGCCCUCCCCACAAGACUGUAUGAGGUAGUUGGGAGAAAAGGCAACAUGCAGAGAACAUCACAGGACAGUACAUGACUAAGCACAUAGAGUGUGAAACCAACUUUAAGAGGGUUUGGGAUAAAGUUGUAAGUGGAUCCUGUAAGAUCCUGGUUUUUGUAGCUGUGGAAAUUUUAUUAACCUUUAAAAUAAAAGUAAUGGCUCUGAACAAUGCAGAGAAGAUAACAAAGUUUCUGGAAAAUAUUCCUCAGGACAGCUCGGACGCGAUUGUGAGCAAGGCCAUCGACUUGUGGCACAAACACUGCGGGACCCCCGUGCACUCAGCCUGACCGCUCCUGAUGCGCAUGGCCUGCCAGGCCCAGUCACUAAACUUACCGAAAAUAGGGUUCUUGCUUUUGUGCCCAAAGCAUAAUUUUUUCCGAGUAAGAUUGGGUGGCAUAUCGUGGAGCAGCAUCUUGUGGUUCACAGAAGUACAAAGUUCAACUCUGAAUAGCAUUGAAAAGGGUUAUUCGAAAACACUUCCCCAUUUUCAAAACAGUUCAGGCAGGGAAGGCGGGCGCUUUGAUAGGCAGUGUAUAACCAAGCCUGUCCCGUUCCUCUCUAAUUAGCACCAAGCUCGUUACUUUCUAAGGCUAUUUCUGGAAUAAAGAACAACUUCCUUUUGUUGACAGCUCAGAUUCGGCUUUCCUUGAUGCAGUACUUGUUUAAAUCUAAGCUGUCUGGUUUCUGAGGCUUUGUCUUGCCAAAUAGGUUUCAAUAAAAAUCUUACAUUUUUCUUCUCUG